rnacentral:misc_RNA from 1 species
CACUGGUUUGUUCCUUAUUUUACGCAAGUUUUACGACAAGUCGUAACGGUUCUUAAAAUCAUAAUAGUCCAUUGAAAAUUGAAUAUCUAUAUCAAAUUCCACAAUUAUGAAAAUGAUUGUAGAAAAGUAACAAGAAAGAAACCGAAAAAAAGAUAAACGCGAACCUAUUAAAAAAAUAAAGAAGGUCGAAAGACUGGAACUAAGGUUAAGUUAAUAAGGGCGCACGGUGGAUGCCUUGGCACUAGAAGCCGAAGAAGGACGUGAC